rnacentral:rRNA from 1 species
ACGAACGCUGGCGGCGUGCUUAACCCAUGCCAGUCGAACGGAAAGGCCCUGCUUUUGUGGGGUGCUCGAGUGGCGAACGGGUUAGUAACCCGUGAGUUACCUGCCCUUGACUUUGGGAUAACUUCAGGAAACUGGGGCUAAUACCGGAUAGGAGCUCCUGCUGCAUGGUGGGGGUUGGAAAGUUUCGGCGGUUGGGGAUGGACUCGCGGCUUAUCAGCUUGUUGGUGGGGUAGUGGCUUACCAAGGCUUUGACGGGUAGCCGGCCUGAGAGGGUGACCGGCCACAUUGGGACUGAGAUACGGCCCAGACUCCUACGGGAGGCAGCAGUGGGGAAUAUUGCACAAUGGGCGGAAGCCUGAUGCAGCAACGCCGCGUGCGGGAUGACGGCCUUCGGGUUGUAAACCGCUUUCGCCUGUGACGAAGCGUGAGUGACGGUAAUGGGUAAAGAAGCACCGGCUAACUACGUG